ensembl:snoRNA C17H12.36 ncRNA
GUCAGUUCCUUCAGUGUGGGGAACUGACAGUGUUAAGGCUUCAGUGAGGAUGAAAAUCCUCGAAGUUCCUGAUGUGGCCACAUCAUAACACAAAUCGGGGGUCAUUGUAGUCUGACUACGAUCACUUCCGGGCUGUAGGUUUACCUCGGCGCCGAAUAAUUUUGGAAAACGCUCCCCGAGUAAGCGGCCACCAGGCGAAACUCGAGAUGGUCCCAAGGGGUACCAGC